rnacentral:RNase_P_RNA from 1 species
AAAGCCCGCCGGGCGAUCGCCGGCAGCCCGACUGCCGGAGGAAAGUCCGGACUCCGUAGAGCGGCGUAGCAGGUAACGCCUGCCCACCGUGAGGUGAGGAUCAGAGCAACAGAGACGAGUCUCGGCGGAAUUGCGGUCGCCGCGUGAGCGGCGACCGCAAAGUCUCGACACCGAAGGGGCGGCGGGCGAAGGUCAGCCGUCACUCGGAGAGAGCCAGGUCGGCGGCGCGCAAGCGCCGUCGGCGAUUCGCCGCAAGGUGAAGCGCCGAGGGUGAAACGGGCAAUCUCUACGCGGAGCAACACCAAAUAGGCGACCGACGACCUUGCUCGGGUAGGUCGCGGGUAGGUGGCUCGAGUCCGCCAGCGAUGGCGGACCCAGAGGAAUGAUCGCCACACGGCGCGCCGCGCCGUGCACAGAAUCCGGCUUACAGGCGGGCUUUGCAU